rnacentral:rRNA from 1 species
GAUGAACGCUGGCGGCGUGCCUAAUACAUGCAAGUCGAGCGAACAGACGAUGAGCUUGCUCCUCUGACGUUAGCGGGGGACGGGCGAGUAACACGUGGAUAACCUACCUAUAUGACUGGGAUAACUUCGGGAAACCGCAUCUAAUACCAGCUCAUAUAUUGAACCGCUUGGUUCAAUAGUGAUAGGCGGUUUUGCUGUCACUUAUAGCUGGAUCCGCGCCGCAUUAGCUAGUUGGUAAGGUAACGGCUUACCAAGGCGACGAUGCGUAGCUGACCUGAGAGGGUGAUCGGCCACACUGGAACUGAGACACGGUCCAGACUCCUACGGGAGGCAGCAGUAGGGAAUCUUCCGCAAUGGGCGAAAGCCUGACGGAGCAACGCCGCGUGAGUGAUGAAGGUCUUCGGAUCGUAAAACUCUGUUAUUAGGGAAGAACAACUGUGUAAUUAACUAUGCACGUCUUGACGGUACCUAAACAGAAAGCCACGGCUAACUACGUG